UCUGUAUCAAACAGGUCCUGGUAGAAAAGGUGCUGAAACUCCUCCCAGUUGUCCUAGCACCCCGGGAAGUACUAUUGGAAAAGUUAUUCUUCAACCUGGACAAGCCCGAGCGCCAAUAUUUAUAACGCCUUUACGUGAUAUCGCCGUAGUCAGUGGACAAGCAGCGAAAUUCGAAUGUAUCGUACAAUCAGAACCGCCCCCGAAUAUUCUAUGGUCCAAAAACGGACGAAUUAUAGACAACUCGAAUGAUCACCAGUUACAUUACAGAAAUGGUGUUUGCCGUUUGACAAUCUCACAAGCGUAUCCAGAGGACGCAGGAACCUAUUCCUGCACUGCGACGAAUCCUGUGGGCACGGCAAAUACAACUGCAACUCUUCAAGUACCAGGUGAGCGCCGAUCCCAAUAUAUAAAAUAAGAUGGUGGUGGUCUAACAAAAUAGUUUUGUGCACUGCCAAUGUAUAAGCAGUUAUCUGUACGUACUUUUCAUUUCAAUUUUUCAAUUAUCGACUCCGAAGUGCCUUAUUGCUAUAACAAAUUUGUGACAUGAAUCACGUAGUGUUAGUUUUUCCCGCUUCAACGUUUCAGAUAUUUUAUUACGAAAAUACUAAGCUGUAUCAAAGUGUUUCUUGUUAUUUUAAUACAUUAAGGUUAAAGCCUUUAUCAAACUCAUUCUGGUCAUUAUGUACUAGUGUUUAGAGUAUAUGUGUAUAAAUUUAUAUUUGUUACUGACUUUUAUUAUUAUAUUUAUUUAUUUAUUGUGUCUGUUAUAUUGGAUAUUAAAGCUUUUCUGCAUUUA